rnacentral:tRNA from 1 species
GCCCGUUUAGCUCAGUGGUAGAGCGCGCCACUCGUAUAAGUUGGUAUGGUGAGGUCGGUUGUUCAAUCCAGCCAAUGGGCA